rnacentral:rRNA from 1 species
UAGUCCGCACGAGCGCACCCUUGUCCUUAGUUGCCAUCAGGUAAAGCUGGGAACUCUAGGGAUACUGCCUGUAACAAGCAGGAGGAAGGUGGGGAUGACGUCAAGUCCUCAUGGCCCUUACGUCCAGGGCUGCACACGUGCUACAAUGGCCGGCACAAUGGGCUGCGAUACCGCGAGGUGGAGCCAAUCCCAAAAAACCGGCCUCAGUUGGGAUUGAAGUCUGCAACUCGACUUCAUGAACGUGGAAUCGCUAGUAAUCGCGGAUCAGCACGCCACGGUGAAUACGUUCCCGGGUCUUGUACACACCGCCCGUCAAGCUAGGAAAGCCGGAAAUACCUGAAGACGUGGUCCCAACCCGCAAGGGAGGGAUGCGCCGAGGGUAGAGCUGGCGAUUCGAGCUAAGUCGUAACAAGGUAGCCGUACCGGAAGGUGCGGCUGGAUCACCUCCUUU